rnacentral:rRNA from 1 species
GACGAACGCUGGCGGCGUGCUUAACACAUGCAAGUCGAACGAAGAGCGAUGGAAGCUUGCUUCUAUCAAUCUUAGUGGCGAACGGGUGAGUAACGCGUAAUCAACCUGCCCUUCAGAGGGGGACAACAGUUGGAAACGACUGCUAAUACCGCAUACGAUCUAAUCUCGGCAUCGAGGAUGGAUGAAAGGUGGCCUCUACAUGUAAGCUAUCACUGAAGGAGGGGAUUGCGUCUGAUUAGCUAGUUGGAGGGGUAACGGCCCACCAAGGCGAUGAUCAGUAGCCGGUCUGAGAGGAUGAACGGCCACAUUGGGACUGAGACACGGCCCAGACUCCUACGGGAGGCAGCAGUGGGGAAUCUUCCGCAAUGGACGAAAGUCUGACGGAGCAACGCCGCGUGAGUGAUGACGGCCUUCGGGUUGUAAAGCUCUGUUGAUCGGGACGAAAGGCCUUCUUGCGAAUAGUGAGAAGGAUUGACGGUACCGGAAUAGAAAGCCACGGCUAACUACGUG